rfam:Solenopsis invicta Si_gnG.contig43098, whole genome shotgun sequence.
AGCUUUACACAAUGGCGUAACUAAUAAAGUUCUACUGAGGUACGAUUAUUGCUAGUUGAAAAUUUUUACCAAUAUUCCGCCAUAACGAUGUGAAAUAUCAUUAGUUACGGCCAAUUUUUGAAAGUUUCUACGAAA